GUGUUUGCUUCAGCAGCACAUAUACUAAAAUUGGAAUGAUACAGAGAAGAUUAGCAUGGCCCCUGUGCAAAGAUGAUACGCAAAUUUGUGGAGUAUUCCAUAUUUCU
rnacentral:snRNA from 1 species